GUUCAUUGUUUUUCUUCUUGAGAUCGGACUAACAGUGUUGGUUUUUUUGAGGUAAUUUAAAUAGUGUAAAUAUAUUUACACGAGCAGAGAUUAUCGUUGAACUCUGUGCAAUUUUCAACGAUGUUCAAUAAUCUUGGUUCAAUAAUAAUGUACUUUUACUGAAACUGUUUCAAAGAUAUGUCAAUUCUUUCAACAGUUAUAUCAUUUAAAGGGGGCCUCCAGUGAAAUAACUAAGUCCAGGAUAUUUCAAUACAACUGAAUGUGCAUCAGGCUACUUAUUCAUAGGCCCUAAAAACCACGAACAACCAUCUCAGAACCGAAAAAAUAUCUGGAGUAAUGUGUGUUUUGAACUUUCACAAGUUCCAGACUGCGCACUCUUAUUUCUUUUAAGUGAGAUGGGUCAUCAUAAUUCUCUAACUUUUCUCUAACUUUUUCAGAUAGUCGAAAUUUCUUGACCAUAUCCGGUUUUCCCAGUCUGUCGCUAACCUAUCGUAACAUCCAUACAAAGAAUGCCUAGAAUCACUUUUAUUUUUUUAUAUAUUACAUAUUAUAUAUUUUGCCCUUUUUCUUGCGAUGUUUGUUCAAGAAUUAAGAUCCGGUAAGAAAUUUACCGGUGGUAGGUAUUCUUCGGAUAGAUCCUGGGGAUAAGAAAAAUCAGAAGACUGAAACGCGCACUACCAGGAAGAUUUUUUUCGGUUUUGAGAUCAUUGUUUGUGGUUUUCAAGAUCUGAAAACAAGUAGUCUGAUACGCACUUAGUUCUAUUGAAAAAUGUCGGACAUCACAAUUUCACCAGAAGCUCCCAUUAACUUUGUUUCUGUAGAAGUAAAAUAUUUCUAUUAGAUCCAGAUCUAAGAAUUAUCAUAUUUGCACAGUAUCUAGACGCUAAUAUUAUGUAAAAAAUUCUUAAACGAUGCAGAAUCUAACCAAUGAAGAGUUGCAUUGCAAUCUGUUAUAAUAAGAAUAAAUAACAUUACAUAUUACAAUAAAAA